UACGUAGGGUGCGAGCGUUAAUCGGAAUUACUGGGCGUAAAGCGUGCGCAGGCGGCGCGUUAAGACAGGUGUGAAAGCCCCGAGCUUAACUUGGGAAUUGCGCUUGUGACUGGCGUGCUGGAGUGUGGCAGAGGGAGGUGGAAUUCCACGUGUAGCAGUGAAAUGCGUAGAGAUGUGGAGGAACACCGAUGGCGAAGGCAGCCUCCUGGGCCAGCACUGACGCUCAUGCACGAAGCGUGGGGAGCAAACAGG
rnacentral:rRNA from 1 species